AUGAACGCUGGCGGCGUGCCUAAUACAUGCAAGUCGAGCGAACAGAUAAGGAGCUUGCUCCUUUGACGUUAGCGGCGGACGGGUGAGUAACACGUGGGUAACCUACCUAUAAGACUGGAAUAACUCCGGGAAACCGGGGCUAAUGCCGGAUAACAUUUAGAACCGCAUGGUUCUAAAGUGAAAGAUGGUUUUACUAUCACUUAUAGAUGGACCCGCGCCGUAUUAGCUAGUUGGUAAGGUAACGGCUUACCAAGGCAACGAUACGUAGCCGACCUGAGGGUGAUCGGCCACACUGGAACUGAGACACGGUCCAGACUCCUACGGGAGGCAGCAGUAGGGAAUCUUCCGCAAUGGGCGAAAGCCUGACGGAGCAACGCCGCGUGAGUGAUGAAGGUCUUCGGAUCGUAAAACUCUGUUAUUAGGGAAGAACAAAUGUGUAAGUAACUGUGCACGUCUUGACGGUACCUAAUCAGAAAGCCACGGCUAACUACGUG
rnacentral:rRNA from 1 species